rnacentral:rRNA from 1 species
CCUACGGGAGGCAGCAGUGAGGAAUAUUGGUCAAUGGACGAGAGUCUGAACCAGCCAAGUAGCGUGAAGGAUGACUGCCCUAUGGGUUGUAAACUUCUUUUAUAUGGGAAUAAAACGUUCCACGUGUGGGAUUUUGUAUGUACCAUAUGAAUAAGGAUCGGCUAACUCCGUGCCAGCAGCCGCGGUAAUACGGAGGAUCCGAGCGUUAUCCGGAUUUAUUGGGUUUAAAGGGAGCGUAGGUGGAUUGUUAAGUCAGUUGUGAAAGUUUGCGGCUCAACCGUAAAAUUGCAGUUGAAACUGGCAGUCUUGAGUACAGUAGAGGUGGGCGGAAUUCAUGGUGUAGCGGUGAAAUGCUUAGAUAUCACGAAGAACUCCGAUUGCGAAGGCAGUUCACUGGACUGCAACUGACACUGAGGCUCGAAAGUGUGGGUAUCAAACAGGAUUAGAUACCCUAGUAGUC